UACGGAGGGUGCAAGCGUUGUUCGGAAUCACUGGGCGUAAAGCGCGUGUAGGCGGCCUCCUCAGUCUGGUGUGAAAGCCCGGGGCUCAACCCCGGAAGUGCAUUGGAUACUGGGAGGCUGGAGUACCGGAGAGGAGGGUGGAAUUCCUGGUGUAGCGGUGAAAUGCGCAGAUAUCAGGAAGAACACCAAUGGCGAAGGCAGCUCUCUGGGACGGUACUGACGCUGAGACGCGAAAGCGUGGGGAGCAAACAGG
rnacentral:rRNA from 1 species